AGAUCUGGAGAACAAACAUCUACAAAACAUGGAUAGGGCAAAACCCUGCUCGUGCUAAGAGCUGUUAAAUGAAUGCAAUGUUAGACCGGAAGAAAACUUAGCAGAAAGUCUAUAUCUGGUGAAUGUCUGGACCUAAUUCCAAGACGACACACAGAGGAACAGACAGGUGUUUUUACACAAUGGAUGAAGUGUAAUGAAUAAGAUCAUGGCUAGCUUUAUGACCCAUUCUGACAAUGAUCAGAUCUUCUCAUACUCCAGAACCUGUGUUUUCCCCCCUGUAGUCUGAUUGUCUUAUGUAAUUACAACAUCUCUGGAUGGAGAAGAGAUGGCCAACAAUAGGUAGAAGACCGUCCAGGUACACAUUUGGGGAUCAUCUAGUCCAGCCUCCUUGAAGUGGAAAUAGUGCCAACACUGAAGCAUUGUUUUGUCCACACCUAGUUUUGAAAAUGUCCAAGAAUGGAGAUUUCACAGUCUGUCUGGACAACCUAUUGCAGUGUGGCAGUGGUUUUCUAAGAGAAGUUUUUCUUUUUUGUUUUGUUUUGUUUUGUUUUUCUGAAUGCCCAGCCUGAAGCUUGCAAGCUGCAGUUUGGCUGUCGCCCCUUGUUACACUGUCUGAUGCUACUUAGCACCAUUUGGCUCCCUCAGUCUUGUAACCACCCUUUAAGUAAUAACAGAUUUCUGUGAGUUGCCUCUCAGCUUUCCCUUUGCUAGGCUAAUCAAGCCCAAUAUCACUAACCUCUCCUUGUUGAUCAUAUUGUCUGUGCCCCACUGCUGUGGUUGCUGCCUGCUCAAUCCUCCCCAGUUUCUUCAGUUCUACUGUGAGCUCUGAGGACCAAAAGUGUGCACGGUAGCCCAGCUGGGGCCUCACCACUGCUGUGUCUACAGAUAAAGAGAGAAAGAGAAUAUAUCUGUGCCCAUGUGUUGUUGUGUUGUUAUAGGACAAAAGACAAGAUCAAAAAAGCACCUUCCCUUUAGAAAGAAGGUGGUGAAUUUUAGACUUGCUUUGUAGCUCUAAUGUAAACUAAUUCUAAAGUAUAAGGCUGUCUCUGAUAGCAUUUGUCCUGUUCUUAA